AGCGAACGCUGGCGGCAGGCCUAACACAUGCAAGUCGAACGAACUCUUCGGAGUUAGUGGCGGACGGGUGAGUAACACGUGGGAACGUGCCUUUUGGUUCGGAAUAACUCAGGGAAACUUGUGCUAAUACCGAAUGUGCCCUUCGGGGGAAAGAUUUAUCGCCAUUAGAGCGGCCCGCGUCUGAUUAGCUAGUUGGUGAGGUAACGGCUCACCAAGGCGACGAUCAGUAGCUGGUCUGAGAGGAUGACCAGCCACACUGGGACUGAGACACGGCCCAGACUCCUACGGGAGGCACCAGUGGGGAAUCUUGCGCAAUGGGCGAAAGCCUGACGCAGCCAUGCCGCGUGAAUGAUGAAGGUCUUAGGAUUGUAAAAUUCUUUCACCGGGGACGAUAAUGACGGUACCCGGAGAAGAAGCCCCGGCUAACUUCGUG
rnacentral:rRNA from 1 species